rnacentral:rRNA from 1 species
GAUGAACGCUAGCGGGAGGCUUAACACAUGCAAGUCGAGGGGCAGCAUAGGGUAGCAAUACUCUGAUGGCGACCGGCAAACGGGUGAGUAACGCGUAUGCAACCUACCCUGUACAGGGGGAUAACCCGGAGAAAUUCGGACUAAUAUCCCGUAAUAAUAUCCGGAGGCAUCUUUGGAUAUUUAAAGUUUCGACGGUACGGGAUGGGCAUGCGUAACAUUAGCUGGUUGGUAAGGUAACGGCUUACCAAGGCUAUGAUGUUUAGGGGUCCUGAGAGGGUGGUCCCCCACACUGGUACUGAGACACGGACCAGACUCCUACGGGAGGCAGCAGUGAGGAAUAUUGGUCAAUGGGCGCAAGCCUGAACCAGCCAUCCCGCGUGCAGGAAGACGGCCCUAUGGGUUGUAAACUGCUUUUCCAGGGAGAGAAACUUACGCACGUGUUGCGUGACUGACGGUACCCUGGGAAUAAGCAUCGGCUAACUCCGUGCCAGCAGCCGCGGUAAUACGUCUA